GCGGACGGGUCGAAGAAUCUGGCACCGAACGCUUUUCCCCCGAAAUUGAAUACGAAGAGAAAACGGUGAAUUUGAUUCAGCGAAUCGACUUCGCUUGGGCGUUGGAGAGAGAUGAGAAGAAGCAGAAGACAAAGGAAUCAUCUACACUGUAAGAUCCUUUUACUAAAAAUUACACUGAUUUUAUUCUGAGCUGAAAUUAACACUAUUAAAAGCUAUUUUUGGUUGUUUUUUCUGAAUUUUUUUUUUUUUGCCAUUUAGCUGAUAGAUUUGUUAGUUGUUUGAUAAAAUGUAUUGAUUAUUGAGCUUGAAUCAAUUUUAACCCAGAAUUGUGGGAAAUUUUGCUUGGUUUUUGCUGGAUUUUGGUGGGUACUUAGACCUAUGGAUUAAUUUUUGUUUGAUUGAAUUUUGGUCUAAUUGUGUAUAAAACAUGAUUACAGUUGCCUUAAUUUGUGAUGUUAUGUGAAUUUUGGUCUGAUAGUAUUUCCAUAGUUGUUAUGUGAUAGACAAGAAAGAGUACUUAAUGUGAGAUUCCCAUGUCCAGGAGAAAUGAUAGUUCCAAUUGCUGAACUACAGAACAAAUAGGUAGCAGAUAGAUAAUAUCACUUACAAGAUGAAUUACCUUGCUAAUUUUGUUAUUUGAAAGCUAUGGUUUUAUAUUACUCUUAUUAAUCUAUAUGCUUACUUGGUGUUGGAUUGAAGUUGCAUUUGUGGUUUUGUAUGUGCAAGACUUACAAAGUUACACUAAAUAGGGCCUGCUCAAAGUAACAAGGAAAAAGUAAAGGGAGGUUGGACCUUGAAAAACUUGAUAGUUUUAGGUGUAACCAUGUAUAUUCCUAAUAACUUUAGGAUUAUUAUCCUGCCCAUAGAUUAUGACAUUUGCAGCUUAGAUUGAAAACUUUUAACCAAUUUAUUUUCAAGAUCGUGCAUUUUCUUUGUGAGCUACUAUAUCUACAAUGUUUCCUCAUUUUUUUUAGUAAUAAAGUAAUAAAGCUACUAUGUUUACAAAUUGUGAUCACAUGCUUGAAUAUAUAGCUCUUAUAAAAGAGAUAAACAAUAGAAUUGUAUGCUCUUGUUAUUUUACAAUUAGAUCAAGGCAUCUUUAGCACAAUUUUUGGUGAUUUUAAUUUAUUUUUUUAUUUUUUUUUUGAAUUUUUCUGCGAUUUUUGAGUGAUUUUUGUUUGGUUUUGUUGAUGAAAUGGUUCUAAGAUUUGCUAGUAAAAGGUUCUAAGAUGAUGCUAAUUAAUGAAAUUGAAAUUACUUGG